rnacentral:rRNA from 1 species
GUGUUGUAAGUGUUUAAGGGCGCAUGGUGGAUGCCUUGGCACUGGGAGCCGAUGAAGGACGUUGGAGGCUGCGAUAUGCCUCGGGGAGCUGCCAACCGAGCGUUGAUCCGAGGAUGUCCGAAUGGGGAAACCCGGCACGAGUGAUGUCGUGUCACCCUGCACUGAAUACAUAGGUGUAGGGAGGGAACGCGGGGAAGUGAAACAUCUCAGUACCCGUAGGAAGAGAAAACAAAAUGUGAUUCCGUGAGUAGUGGCGAGCGAAAGCGGAGGAUGGCUAAACCGUAUGCAUGUGAUACCGGGUAGGGGUUGUGUGUGCGGGGUUGUGGGACCUGUUUUUCCAGUUCUACCUGGCUGGAGGGUAGUGAGAAAAUGUCGUGGUUAGCGGAAGUGGUUUGGGAUGACCUGCCGUAGACGGUGAGAGCCCGGUACGUGAAAACCUGACAUCUACCUUGAACGGUGUUCCCGAGUAGCAGCGGGCCCGUGAAAUCUGCUGUGAAUCUGCCGGGACCACCCGGUAAGCCUGAAUACUUCCCAGUGACCGAUAGCGGAUUAGUACCGUGAGGGAAUGGUGAAAAGUACCCCGGGAGGGGAGUGAAAUAGUACCUGAAACCGUGCGCUUACAAUCCGUCAGAGCCUUCGACUUUGUCGUGGGGUGAUGGCGUGCCUUUUGAAGAAUGAGCCUGCGAGUCAGGGACAUGUCGCGAGGUUAACCCGUGUGGGGUAGCCGCAGCGAAAGCGAGUCUGAAUAGGGCGUAUCCA